CGCAAAAGACCAUACACACAUGGGAACCUCUCUUUCUUCCUCAUGAACAAAAAACCAAAAAAACACUAAUUGAAAAAGACCUCAUUCCCACUAGCUCAAGCCACCUCUAACAUCGACCAACACCUCAAGUCGACCAGCUCGUUGUCAACCCCAUCACCACCUCCGUCGACUCCACCAUUUCCGACCAGCUGAACCAAAACGAACCAGGUCGUCACCCCACGCCAGCGAGCAGCGUCCAAACAACCCUUUCUGCUCCUUCUCUGCCAAGCGACCAGCCCUACGAUGUAACCACCCGCACGACCACAGAACAGCCCACCCCACGACACCUGAACCACCCAGCAGUCCGCCAUUGACGACCCCUUUCAACUCAACGAAAAAAACCAGCAGCCUCCGUCGCCUCUAGCAGUAACAGUCAGCCCCGUCGUCCUCUCUUCAGGCAGCAUCGGCCAUGGGCGCUUCUUCAUUCUCAGCCACUGCUUGAACCACGCCUGGUCAAAACGACUUCAUCCCUACACACAUAGUAAAAACAACAACAACAAUAUUGUGCUUUCUUCUAUCCAAAUCUCUGUGUUAGUUCUAAAAAACAGGUUUCAAUGGAGCUAGUGUGUUGAGUUUGGCCGGAGUUAGUUUUCUGGCGAGUUCUUUGAGUGUUGCGUCAACUGUUGCUCCCUUGUCGCCAUUACUGUGGUAGUGAUGUCAUUUUAGUUCGAGGUGCCGAUGCAAGGUUCAUCGUUGUUGGAAAUAGGAGGCUAUAUAUAUUAUUUGUGGAAGAGAGGAUUGAUGAUUUAGCAGCUUGAUUGAUCUUGAAUGCUUUCCUUAUUGCUUGAUUACAAAUGAGUGGUGAUACCUCUAUUUAUACUACACAAUGGAAUAGUCUAGAACACUUCAUCAUCU
rnacentral:lncRNA from 1 species